UACGGGGGAUCCGAGCGUUAUCCGGAUUUAUUGGGUUUAAAGGGUGCGCAGGCGGAAUAUUAAGUCGGCGGUGAAAGUUUGCAGCUUAACUGUAAAAUUGCCGUUGAUACUGGUAUUCUUGAGUGUAUAUGAAGUAGGCGGAAUUUGUAGUGUAGCGGUGAAAUGCAUAGAUAUUACAAGGAACUCCAAUUGCGAAGGCAGCUUACUAAAUUACAACUGACGCUUAGGCACGAAGGCGUGGGUAUCAAACAGGAUUAGAUACCCUGGUAGUCCCUGA
rnacentral:rRNA from 1 species